UCCGUGAUAACCCCACCGGUCUGUGUGCCC
rnacentral:piRNA from 1 species